ACGUUUAGUCGCUUAUAGUCAGCUGUCGAGGCAAGUCAUUAAUCUUUUCAGCAGUAAUUUGUAUACAUCCCACCUCCUCCCCAUGCCUGCAUCCAUCAUCCUGGUGGUUAUGGUACUGGUGACUGUGUGGGCGUAAUUUUUGCUCUCACCUUACUGGGCAAAAUAAUGUUGAUACAUAUGUAAAAGUUAUAGUUAAUUAUUUCUGUCAAAGUUAAUAAAUAGUAAGUAAUUUCAAGAAUAAAAUGGCUAGGGG
rnacentral:lncRNA from 1 species